rnacentral:lncRNA from 1 species
GGAUCUGGAGGUGUCGGUGGGCACGAUGGGGACAGCCGGGCCGGGCGAGGCAGUGCGGGCACAUGCGGCGGCCGCAGUCGACGCGGUAGAUGUUCUCCUCGCUCUCCCCGAAGAACUUGUUCCUCAGCAACAGCUUUAUCCAUCGCGGCGGUACGCUUGUGCUUCUCCCUCCCCCUUUCCUCUCCCUCCUCCUCCUCCUCCUUCCUUCUCUCGCUCGAUGAUGCUCGCCUUCUUGUAAACAGUAGAGUAUAAGCUCACAAGUCUGAGAACCAGAGAAGAGGUAAGUUUUCAUCAACUUUUGUUUGUCCCCCUGUACCAGCAUUUCGAUUGGUCAAUGAAUUACCGUACUUGAGAACAUUUAUAUCCACAAAAUAUUUGCUUUGCAGACACUUUUAUUGGACUAAUCGAAACAGCUGCUUGGAAAACUGAUGCUUGAUCUGUUUCAGUGAUCUCCGGCAACGUCAAUGGAAGGAUGAUCGAAUGACCUUUUGCAGGUUAUGGUCAGUACCUACUGUCCAGGCUCAGUUUGAACUCUUUUCUACGUACAAUAUGGUGGCAUCCGAAAACAGUGAUUCUCCCGGUCGAAUGAAGCGAGUUGCGACCGGGAGACACUGAGGUCCCGUGUGGGGCCGUAGUCUGGGCUUGGACUGGAUCUCCAUCGUGGGCUCAGUUUGGGCUUUCAAAGGAACGAUUCCAUGCAACAGCAAACUAUUGAUCGAAGAUAAUUAUUAUUAGAAAAGGUGAAACGUAAGAUGGUGGAGAACGACAAGUAUUCAUCCCAAGUUGUUGGGUUCUUCUCUUAAUGCCUAAAUUGUUCCUCAAGGUUGGGUUAGGAAUCGACUUGUAGGUAGGUGUUGUUUCUAUCAUUAAAUGAUAUGGAAGUGACUAAUAUCUACGUAUAUUUAAUCUCCUUAAAUCGGAUUCGUAUAUUCUCUAAUAAUUAUAUAUAAAAUAAUAAAUUGGUAUGCAAAUCAAGUUGGAUGAAAUAGUUCGUUCUCAACUCCAUCGACAGCUACAGCUAAAUUAUUGUGCUCACGGGAAGAAGACAUAGCUGAUUA